GGUUGUCAUUGGAACGAAGCUCAGGGAAAAAUAGCUUCCUGUCUGUCUCUCUUGACAUAUGAAACAGCAGGCAUUAAAACAUGUGGGUCUGCUUGUCGAUGUCGAGUAAAAUAACUACUUGGAAUAAGCGAAUUAUACACUGAACAUUCUGAAGAAGCACUGUAUACGUUAUCUGUCGUCCAACAUUUUUGUCAUCGAGUGUAAACGACCCGAAAGAGUGUUGAAAACUUGUAUAGUUUAAUAAUUGUCCGUGCUUGUCUUAAAUUUAAAUUUACCUAGAUGCCGGCUGCUUGGAACGGUUGUACUGCAUUUGCUCUGUGACGGAUUAUUAUGGCGUAGGGAAUAAGUACGCCGAUUAUUGUUCAGAAAGGUAGGUGCUUUGCUGAACAUUUAGUUUGGAAAUUUAGAAGUUCGAAUUGCACUCACGUACGUGGGGCAGAUUUUUUUUAGAGAACUUCAUACAGAGACUAAGUUUAUAUAAAGUUAGAUUGUCAUUGUUAAAGUUAACACUGGUGAAGUAUUUGAUUUAGAAAGCUCACCUUCUCAGUCAGGUGUUGAUAUAAAUAGCAAGUGUAAUGUAGCUCUCGAAAUGUCGCGUAUAAUGCGGCAUCGUCCUACGCAUUCUGCUAACAAUAUUGAUUUGCCCACUGAAUGUAAAUAGCCGAUCGGUUCAAGGCGUGGGUGAUCGCUCUUUUUAGACGUCAAGAUUAUAAUUUCCCCCGCGCUAUCAAUAAUACUUUUCCCGUCUAUAUAAUAUCUUAAUUAUGAAAUUUUCCAAGCAACAUGAGCUGGCAGCCUGGCAAGGUACUGUAUCGCUGAAUGUAGGUAGCAACUGUGAACUUGCUGCAAUUUGACAUCAUUAAAAAUUUUCUUACGACUUUUCCUUUGCAUAAUAUAUGAGUCAAACAUUUGUCCGUGUACGGAUUUGGCUUUUGAUUUACUUGUACAAAUUGUGUUAAAUCUCGUUGUUUUAAAGGUGCCAUUUUGUAGUGUUGAAAUUGAGUUACUUUUCUUGUCUAGGCGAUGAUAAAAGCAUGGGGAAACAUUGUUAAAGGUGGAGCUAGGCAGAGCUCACCAGAGCACCUGCGUCAACAGAUUCUUGGUUUUGCAAUCGGGCAAUGUUCCUAUAUUAAGCCACUCCGUAGACAUCAAGAUAUUUAUAGCAAGAGACAUGUGAUAUGCAAGAUAUUUCUUCAACAUAAUAUAAAGGUAGGAGAUUUUCUUUAAUUCUUAAAUAUGAUAAUCCUCAAGCUUUAAUUAUACAAC